CAGUCGCCACGGUAAUACGGAGGGUGCAAGCGUUGUCCGGAUUUAUUGGGUUUAAAGGGUGCGUAGGCGGCCUAAUAAGUCAGUGGUGAAAGCCUCCAGCUUAACUGGAGAACUGCCAUUGAUACUGUUAGGCUUGAGUAUACUUGAGGUAGGCGGAAUUGACAGUGUAGCGGUGAAAUGCAUAGAUAUUGUCAAGAACACCAAUUGCGAAGGCAGCUUGCUAAAUUAUAACUGACGCUGAGGCACGAAAGUGUGGGUAUCAAACAGGAUUAGAUACCCCCGUAGUCCCUGUCUCUUAUAC
rnacentral:rRNA from 1 species